rnacentral:rRNA from 1 species
CCUACGGGUGGCUGCAGUGAGGAAUAUUGGUCAAUGGGCGUAAGUCUGAACCAGCCAAGUCGCGUGAGGGAUGAAGGUUCUUUGGAUCGUAAACCUCUUUUUUAAGGGAAUAAAGUGCGGGACGUGUCCCGUUUUGUCUGUACCUUAUGACUAAGGAUCGGCUAACUCCGUGCCAGCAGCCGCGGUAAUACGGAGGAUCCGAGCGUUAUCCGGAUUUAUUGGGGUUAAAGGGUGCGUAGGCGGCCUUUUCAGUCAGCGGUGAAAGUCUGUGGCUCAACCAUAGAAUUGCCGUUGAAACUGGGAGGCUGGAGUAUGGUUGAGGCAGGCGGAAUUCGUGGUGUAGCGGUGAAAUGCUUAGAUAGCACGCGGAACCUCGAUUGCGAAGGCAACCUGCCAAGCCAUGACUGACGCUGAUGCACGAAAGCGUGGGGAUCAAACAGGAUUAGAUACCCUUGUAGUC